AGGCAAGUUUUAAGACAAUAUAUGUGAUGCUACUUUUUGUGAAAGGUGUAGAGUGCCGCUUUCAGUUCUGGAUGAGCUUAAAGAAUUGCUUAAAGAUGAUCUGCAUCAUCUGACUUGUAAAAAUAAAAGUUUAUCCCCAAGAGAUCAAAUUAAUUUUUUUUAUAUUUUUUGGGUAUAUGUUAUUACAAUUGAAUGAUUACUUUGCUUUAACAGUUAAAAUAUGGAUUAUGUAAAUUUCAAGGUGUUUAUAAAAAUUCAAUUUAAUAUAUCUGGAAAGACUGCUAAGAUUCUUAAAGUUUCUUUUUUUGUUUUUUUGUCUCUGUAUAGCUGGUUUUUUGAUGUAGUAUUCUUUGUUUUUGUAUGGAUGGAAUUGUUAUAUUUAAAGUAGUUUAAAACUUUUUGAAUUUUUUUCAGAUUUGAAUGCUUAUUAUGUUUACGCUGAUGGAACUGGGCGAUGACAUAAUUCUAGGGUGUUAUGUCAAUCAGCACUUUAGAAUGCUUUUGAGGUCAGGGGUGGUCAAAUUUUUCCUGGAGCAGUUGUCUUAGAUGACUAUGGCUACCCCUGCAACAACUGACUCAUCACACCUUACAAUGACAACCAAACAGCCUCCAAGCGUCGGUUCAAUGACGUGCACCGAAAAACUUGAAAUAUUAUCAAGCCUUGUUUUGGGGUUUUGAAAAACAGGUUUUACUCUCUGCAAGAACCUAUUUGAUUUUCUAAAGUAGAAAAUGCUGCAAAACUUGUUGUGUGUGCUUGUAUGAUUCACAACAUGUGCCUUAAAGUUGGUGAUAAGGAUGAAGAUUUUUCAGUUUUACCUGCCACACCUUUUCCCUUUCAAGCUUAAGACGACACUCAAGCUGAAAUUCAAUCAGGUACUCGCACGGAUCAAAUACUGCAGUUGUUUAACUGAUAUAAAUAAACACAGUUUAUUAAAUUUUAGUUUUAAAAAAAUUAUUAAAUUUCAAACAAAAA